rnacentral:rRNA from 1 species
CCUACGGGUGGCAGCAGUGGGGAAUAUUGCACAAUGGGGGAAACCCUGAUGCAGCGAAGCCGCGUGAGCGAUGAAGUAUUUCGGUAUGUAAAGCUCUAUCAGCAGGGAAGAAAAUGACGGUACCUGACUAAGAAGCCCCGGCUAACUACGUGACAGCAGCCGCGGUAAUACGUCGGGGGCAAGCGUUAUCCGGGUUUACUGGGUGUAAAGGGGGCGUAGAUGGCGGUGCAAGCCAGUGGGGAACGCCCGGGGCUCAACCACGGGACUGCAUUUGAAACUGUGCUGCUAGAGUGGCGGAGAGGCAGGCGGAAUGCGUGGUGUAGCGGUGAAAUGCGUAGAUAUUAGGAAGAACACCAGUUGCGAAGGCAGCCUACUGGACGAUGACUGACGUUGAGGCUCGAAAGCGUGGGGAGCAAACAGGAUUAGAUACCCGAGUAGUC